rnacentral:rRNA from 1 species
CGGCGGACGGGUGAGUAACACGUGGGUAACCUACCUAUAAGACUGGGAUAACUUCGGGAAACCGGAGCUAAUACCGGAUAAUAUUUCGAACCGCAUGGUUCGAUAGUGAAAGAUGGCUUUGCUAUCACUUAUAGAUGGACCUGCGCCGUAUUAGCUAGUUGGUAAGGUAACGGCUUACCAAGGCAACGAUACGUAGCCGACCUGAGAGGGUGAUCGGCCACACUGGAACUGAGACACGGUCCAG